GUAGGUUUCUUCCAAAAAAGCCUACCACAUUUUGAACAAAAAGCUGAGAUAAUUCCAUUUUGUAAAGGGCUUUUAAGAUCAGCUUCAGAACGACCCUCCAAACAUACAGAGUAUGGGAGUUCAGAUGCAGGCAGGCCUACUAUCAUCAAAAACAUUAGUGUCAAAUGAUACGCUUAAUCCUGCCCUCGCUCGGGUCAUUCAAAACAUACUGUUUUUUUUUUUUUUUAGCUUUUUAGGCAAAUUCCAGCCUGAUAAAAAUGCUAAUUAACAAGAAAUCAUGCUAGACGCACUUAAGUGGGUUUUGCAUCUGAGCUCUUCAUUUACUGCUUUUGGGUCGGUAAAAAUGCUGCAAUGUUUUAUAAGGUAACAGCGUCACCUACUGCAUUAUAGCGGAAAUAUGGGUGUGGUUACAGAAUUUUCCGUCAUCAGCGGGGAAGCGUUGCCUCGAACCUCAAGUGGCGGGAAGUUGAUUGACAGGCGACCUGACCAAUCAUAUCACAAAUAUUAUGCGCCCCCGACGUUGUUCACCAAUCAAAACAUACAGUUAAACUGGCGGGCAGUGACGUCACACAUGUGAUAUUAAAAUGAAUUUUUUGUGGUAUUCUCACUCUGUACGAAUAAAAGCAAUGUCAUACCUAUAAAACGGAUUCGCACAAGAACUAGAAGACACGGAAGUUUUAUAGCCACACCACUGCAAGAUUGGAUUUCAAAACUUCUGACACUGCCAGAAUUUUAUCAGAGUGGGAGUGCUUUGCUAAUGUCGGAUAUAACGUUAGCUUUGCGAAUGGUCAACUGACGAGAUAGAACAGAGAACAGCAGCAGUUCAAUACCAGGAGGUAGUUCAGUUUGCUCAGAGGCUAAUCAGCCAAUCUCUGAACAGAUUAUAGUGGUGAAGACUUCAAUCAGACUGCUGCCUAUUACAGAUUAAGAUGCAGAACUCCGACAAUCCAGAUUCCAGCUGUAGGAAUAUCCUUAUGAUCCCAGAAGUGAGCUGACUCCAUAUCUGCUUUUCUGUCUGACUUUAAGAGGUCUGAUUGAAAAGAAAAUGGCAGUGAGACAUCAAACUGCAGCUCAGUGGUUAAACCUCUGUUAGUUAUUAGCUCUCUCUGACAUACAUUCAAACCUCUAAAAACCACAACAGAAAAGUAACAUCAACAUCGUGUGCUGUUUCAUUUUUGACUACUGAGACUUAUUUUUUGUAAUCUUACAAGAAAUCUUGUUUAGCUUUUGGAGAGCAUUUAAAGAAAAAUAAGAUGACAAAAGUAACGGUGCACAUACAUCUAGUUUUUAAUGUCAAAUGUUACCUUCUUAAGCAUCAGCAAAUUGCCUUGUUUGUUUUUAUUUGUAAAUAGUUGAGUUUGUAAUAGUAGUAAAAAAAGAGAUAGAUCUCAACAUCAUAAAGUCACUGUUGCCAAGUGCAUGCAAAAGGUGCAAAAAAGCAUAGAAUGUUGGUCUAAAGACCACUGGGCAGUUUGAUGGUUCAGGAUAAACAAGACACUAAACAACAACAACCAGGGGUUACUUUGGUCAGUUCUGUUAUAGCUGUGGUUGUGAAAUAUAUGUAAACAUUUGUUAUGUGAAAUUGAUGAGUAACAUAUAUGUUUGAAUAUUUCCAAAAACAAUUUUAUCUUACCAUGUCUAAAUGUAGAAAAAUGUGCAGUAGCAAGGUCUAGGAGAUAAGAUCUUGCUUCACAGAAGCACAGGAGCGAUGUGGUCUCUAAAAACCCCACUCCUAUACAAACAUAGGGUCUUUCUGUUUCCGUUACUGCUUACCGGUUGUACUGUAUGUGGGGCUACAGCAAACAGUUUAUAUAGUAUAAUAUAGUUUUUAAACUUUUAUUGCGUCAGCUAGCUUUUUACAAACUUUUAAGUCAGUAUUCAAGCAUUCAGUUCAGUGUUUAUGAUAUUCCUA